AUUGAACGCUAGCGGGAUGCCUUACACAUGCAAGUCGAACGGAGUGGCGAACGGGUGAGUAAUGUAUCGGAACGUGCCCAGUAGCGGGGGCUAACUACGCGAAAGCGUAGCUAAUACCGCAUACUAUUGGAGCGGCCGAUAUCGGAUUAGCUAGUUGGGGGGGUAACGGCUCACCAAGGCGACGAGCCGUAGCUGGUUUGAGAGGACGACCCGCCACCAUGGGGCUGAGACGCGGCCCCGACUCCUGCGGGAGGCAGGCGUGGGGAAGUUUGGGCAAUGGGGGAAACCCUGAUCCAGCCAUCCCGCGUGUGCGAUGAAGGCCUUCGGGUUGUAAAGCACUUUUGGCAGGAAAGCGGUACCUGCAGAAUAAGCACCGGCUAACUACGUGCCAGCAGCCGCGGUAAUUC
rnacentral:rRNA from 1 species